GCCUCUCUCUCUCUCAUCGAGCGGUCUUCCAGAGCUGCUGUGAGUGUGCGCAUACUUGUGCGGCGUCACAGAUCUCCAAGGCAGAGCAGACAGAGUUGCAUCUUAGAAGUCUUUGCGUGCGCUGCAAACAGAGACCACACUCUCAAGCGUGAUUGCGUGGAAGCUGCGGACGCCGCGCCACCCCAUUGCAUUGCGCUUCCCCUUUCCUCAUCCCCCCCGCCGGCUCUGAACGGAUCUUCUUAGUUUAACAAGGCGGACCUCGUUCACGCCUUGUCUGUCGUCUCUGCAUCUUCAAAAAUAAAAUGAGCGAGCCAUGCGUCUUCAAGGGGUGCUCGAACAUGGCCUUGGUGGCGCUGCCCAAGUGUGAGCACUGUGGACAGCGCUACUGCACAAGCCACAUGCUGCCUGAGCGGCACGGGUGCGGCGAUGCGUGCAAAAACGCGGCGCAGCGACAAGCCACCGCCGACGCGGCGGCGCAGCGGCGGGCCCGGCGGCACCUCGGCAAUGAGGACGCGAAGAAGCGGCUGGACAAGAAGCUGGAGGCGAACGAGGCGGCGCGUAGAAAGAAGUCAAAGCCGGCUCAGGCCCCGCAAAAAAAAAAAUGACUUGACAUCUGCAGAGGUACGACAGGCGGUAUACGAAGCGAACCUCGGCACGUGAGUGACGGUUCCUGACAGCAGCGGAAGAGAGCCAACGAGGCAGGUGUAGGCGAAUGCCUAACUAAAGGUGCCGCUGCCGUUUUCCGUCCCUUCUCUUUCUUCUGUGUUUUCGUUGGUGGCCAUCGUCGCCCGCCCAUCACGAGCAACUCGCUGAAUCACAGAGAGAAUAUUGUGUGGUAGCGUUACAGGUCUGCGAGGCGGGCAAAGGGGGGGGGGCGCAACGAGGCGCAGGCGCCUCUUCUGUCGACAGCAUGCAUAGCUGUACGCGCGCUCUCUCUCGGUAGGUAUGCGCUUCGGCAGCAGCUGCUGGGACAUUCGACAAGAGAGGGGGAAGGAGGUAGUCGCCACCGCUCAGAUGGUGGUGCUGUGCGGGCCGCGGACGGAUACAAGCACGCCUGCGCGCCGGAUGCGUGUCAGCACAGGAUCCACGAUUAGGACAGCUCGUGGAGUGGUCGGGGGCGACCGCCGCACCUGAUAGUGUUUCCUGCUUCUUCCUUUAUGCACUACCCCCUGAUCACGGGGCCUUCCUGUGUCUUCUCCUUCUCUUAUUGGCUCUCUCUUUUUUCCGAAAACGUGGGAAGCUUUCUGUGCGAGCCAAGUCUCCCCCCCCUCCUCUUUAUUUUUCCAACUUACGUCCUUCGACAUCGCAG
rnacentral:misc_RNA from 1 species